rnacentral:lncRNA from 1 species
CGUUGACUAUUCUCUACAAACCACAAAGACAUUGGAACACUAUACCUAUUAUUCGGCGCAUGAGCUGGAGUCCUAGGCACAGCUCUAAGCCUCCUUAUUCGAGCCGAACUGGGCCAGCCAGGCAACCUUCUAGGUAACGACCACAUCUACAACGUUAUCGUCACAGCCCAUGCAUUUGUAAUAAUCUUCUUCAUAGUAAUACCCAUCAUAAUCGGAGGCUUUGGCAACUGACUAGUUCCCCUAAUAAUCGGUGCCCCCGAUAUGGCGUUUCCCCGCAUAAACAACAUAAGCUUCUGACUCUUACCCCCCUCUCUCCUACUCCUGCUUGCAUCUGCUAUAGUGGAGGCCGGCGCAGGAACAGGUUGAACAGUCUACCCUCCCUUGGCAGGGAACUACUCCCACCCUGGAGCCUCCGUAGACCUAACCAUCUUCUCCUUACACCUAGCAGGUAUCUCCUCUAUCUUAGGAGCCAUCAAUUUCAUCACAACAAUUUUCUCCUAUCUCUCCCAGUCCUAGCCGCUGGCAUCACUAUACUACUAACAGACCGUAACCUCAACACCACCUUCUUCGACCCAGCCGGAGGAGGAGACCCCAUUCUAUACCAACACCUAUUCUGAUUUUUCGGUCACCCUGAAGUUUAUAUUCUCAUCCUACCAGGCUUCGGAAUAAUCUCCCAUAUUGUAACUUACUACUCCG